rnacentral:rRNA from 1 species
CCGCCUGCCCUGUGACCACAGUUUAACGGCCGCGGUAUUUUGACCGUGCAAAGGUAGCGCAAUCACUUGUCUUUUAAAUGAAGACCUGUAUGAAUGGCACGACGAGGGCUUAACUGUCUCCUUUCUCCAGUCAAUGAAAUUGAUCUCCCGUGCAGAAGCGGGAUAUGUACAUAAGACGAGAAGACCCUAUGGAGCUUUAGACACAAGAACAGACCAUGUUAAGCACCCCAAAUAAUGGACAAAACUGAUUGAGCCCUGUUCUAAUGUCUUUGGUUGGGGCGACCGCGGGGAAAUAAAAAACCCCCAUGUGGACUGAGAGCACAACACUCUCACAACCAAGAGCCACAGCUCUAAGUAACAGACACUCUGACCUCUAAGAUCCGGCACUUGCCGAUCAACGAACCGAGUUACCCUAGGGAUAACAGCGCAAUUCCCUUCUAGAGCCCAUAUCGACAAGGGGGUUUACGACCUCGAUGUUGGAUCAGGACAUCCUAAUGGUGCAGCCGCUAUUAAGGG